CAUCUUCUCAACAACAAAAUUCGAAAGUUGACUACUAUUUUGAGGCUGUAUAUCAGGAUUAAAAAUUCAGAAAGUUUAUACUUACGUUAACUAACAAGUUUAUAAAAUUAGAAAACUUGUGCCAGAGGGACAAAAGUGACAAAACACGUGAGUCGAGCAGAAGGCACUCGUGAAUCAAAGGCUGUUCAACCCUGAUUUCCUGAAGCUGAGAGUGAACUGUGGGUAGAAUGUAGAAAAUCUAAUUGCACCAACUGUUAUCAAGGAGAUUAUACGAACCAGGGAAACCCCAUACCAAAAAGUUGAGUGAGAGACGUGCUGCAACGUUCAGUUCGACAUCAUAGUUUAUUUCCCAGCGGGCCCGCAAGCCGAUUAAGAUCAACUAAACGUCCGUUAUGGGCUACACAAAAUAAGGAUAACACUAACAAUAAGGAAACCAAGUGCUCACUUCGUUGAGGAACCGGUUGAACUUGUCCUUGCUGCAAGAUGGCAUCUGCAUAACGCUGCGGUGGGGUUCCGUCAGCUCAACUAUCAAGAAAAGAAGAAUCCGCAUUUGAUCGAACGAUUCGGCGUGAAAUCGGCGAAAUUGAAAUGGAAAUUGGAAACAGCCAACUAGCCAAUUUAAGAAAGCGACUGCCGGCCCGACAAUCGUCAAUUUGAUGCCCUCAUGAUGAGGUGUGAUAUAGCUGCCGCCGAAUUCUCCUGAGAGAUCAACAGCUUAUUCUCCCAUUGAAGUCGCCAAUCCGUUAAUUAAAUUUGUUUGGCCGUUAGCACCGCAUCGAACUCCAAAAUCUGCUUCCCAUGUCACCGCAUUACUUCCGCUACCGGACGCCAAGUGGCGAAAGGAAUUUAAACGAUGUCCAGCUUCCCAUUCCAGCUUUCCAUUCAUUAUGUUCGCAGGCGACAGCCGGAAGUGAGCCAGCAAGGUAACUCCAUUUUCAUUAUUUAUUUGAUUCGUCCCAGGCUCCAUUUGAAUAUUUAUAUCCGUUCCC
rnacentral:lncRNA from 1 species